GACUUGGCUAGGUUCAAGACUUGACAAGGUUUAUGGGUGCACAAUUGCAGGUUGAAGAUUACAUCUGCAAGUUAGCACAGAGGGGAACGACAACACUCAGAAUGGUGUUUCGUGUGACUCGAGAACUUGCACAUGAGAUUCCUCUCUACCAUCAAGAAAGCAAGAAGCUCUCUCCCAAUUGGAAAUAGU